rnacentral:rRNA from 1 species
UACGAAGGGUGCAAGCGUUACUCGGAAUUACUGGGCGUAAAGGGUGCGUAGGUGGUCGUUUAAGUCCGUUGUGAAAUCCCUGGGCUCAACCUGGGAAUGGCAGUGGAUACUGAACGGCUAGAAUGCGGUAGAGGGUAGUGGAAUUCCCGGUGUAGCAGUGAAAUGCGUAGAGAUGUGGAGGAACACCAAUGGCGAAGGUAGCCCCCUGGGAUGACACUGACGCUCAUGCACGAAAGCGUGGGGAGCAAACAGG